rnacentral:rRNA from 1 species
CCAAUAGCGUAUAUUAAAGUUGUUGCAGUUAAAAAGCUCGUAGUUGAAUUUCGGGAUCAAUACGUCGGUCGUGCUUUCGGGUACGUACUGGCGUCAUUGGUUUCUCCUUUCUGACGAACCAUGAUGUCAUUAAUUUGGUGUUAUGGGGAGUUAGGACUGUUACUUUGAAAAAAUUAGAGUGUUUAAAGCAGGCAUUAGCUUGAAUACAUUAGCAUGGAAUAAUGAAAUAGGACGUUCGAUCCUAUUUUGUUGGUUUCUAGGAUCAACGUAAUGAUUAAUAGGGAUAGUUGGGGGCAUUAGUAUUCAAUUGUCAGAGGUGAAAUUCUUGGAUUUAUUGAAGACUAACUACUGCGAAAGCAUUUGCCAAGGAUGUUUUCAUUAAUCAAGAACGAAAGUUAGGGGAUCGAAGACGAUCAGAUACCGUCGUAGUCUUAACCAUAAACUAUGCCGACUAGGGAUCGGAUGAUGUUAAUUUUUUAAUGACUCAUUCGGCGCCUUAC